CAGAAGCCUCUGAGACACCGCAGAUGUGGGGUGGCUCACUUCCUAGGAGGAAGAGCAGGAGGAGGCUCCGAGGACAAGGAGCAGGGGGAAGGCUGUGGUCAUCCACUUGUCCGAGUCCCUCUGUGGAGGUCGGAGGACUUCCAGGUGGAUCCGUUGAGGGACACAGGCAGGAGCAGGGGAAAAGAGAACGACAAGGCAGGCGGAGGUGUGUUGGGGAGUGGAGUGCGACUGGUUGCAUCGUCUGGGGUCCAGUUGAGAUGGAAAUGCGGGCUCCUCGCUCAACACAAAUGUCAAGACGUCAGAGCAUCAAACCGCAUCACAGACUCUGGCCUCCAGGAGGAACUCUUUGACACAUAUAUGGCAACUAAACCAUCAGCAGAAGUUUGCUUGGGUUUUCUGGGAUGCAGUGGAUAUAAGUGUGAUGUCUGCAGCAGUAGCAAUCAUUUUGUGACCAUGUGGGAACAAAUACAAGGUGGAAUCACACAGAUGCUUGCCCUGAGGCCACUGAUCCACCAAAAAAGCAAGCCACGGCUCCUUUCCAAAAGGACAAUAGAUAUUAUUAGAAGAGAAGAACAGGCUCUUGCUUAUGGCACUGACACCACUGUUGAAGAGGAAUCUUAUGAAAACCAUAGAUUCAAGACACAGGCAUAACUUGAAAUUUUCUAACAGCUACAUACAAAAUUUGAAAGGAACAGAUUAAGUUAAUUAAAUUCAUUUUUAGAAUAUAUUUCAUUUAUCUAAUGUAUUAAUAAUAUUAUCAUUUCAAAAUGUAAUUGAUAGCAACAUAAUUGAGACUUUUACAGUGAGUUUUGUGAGUCCUAAGACUGGAACCUGGUGGGUAUUUAACUUUACUCCUCUAUCCCAUUUGGAUUAGUCGCAUUUCAGAUGCUCAGGGGUGACUGUGGCUGGUGGCCCCCCCAGGUGGGGAACAGAUGUCCGAUAUUAGGGGGGAAGUGUUACAAAACAGGGACUACAGCCUCCCUUGCUUGUUACCCAUCUCAAGGGGAUGCUUGGAACAUUUUACCAUCAAGUAGGAUACUUGCUAGAGGUUUUGUUUUGUUUUUGCAGAUGCCAGGAUAAAGACAUUCCCUGGAUUCCUAGUUUGCUAGGAUUUUAAUAACAUAACAGAUGCUGGCUUUUUCCUGGAACUAUGGAGAUGAUAUGUCUUCCACCUCUGAUCUUCUAAUGUGGUGAAACACCCUGACUGAGCUAGUUUGUCGCCUCCCCGCCCCGUGUUGGGGAUUGAACUCAGGGGUGCUUUACCACUGAGCUGUAUCCCCAGCUGCCCUCCCCCUCCUCCUCCUCCUCCUCCUUUUUCUGUCUUAGGGUAGGGUUUUUCCUACCCAGUUGCCCAGGCUGGUCUUGAACUUGUGAUCAGCCUCCCAAAUCAGUGCUUGAGGCACUGCUCCUAGUUUAAAUUGAUUUUCAAAGUUAAACCAGCCUAAUUUUAUCACAAAGUAUUAUCACUUUUUAUAUACUGCCAGGUUUGAUUUGCUAAUGCUUUCAGAUUUUUUUUGUAUCUUUCUUCAUGAGUAACACUGGUCUAUAAUUUUCCUUUUUUGUACUGUACUUGUCAUACAAAGAAUUAGGAGGAAUUCCUCUUCCUCUUAUGUGGGGAUGUUGGGGUUAAGACUGGAAUGAUUUCUUUUUAAAAUAAACCACAG
ensembl:lncRNA